ensembl:miRNA
GAGGUGGGAGGAUCACUUGAGCCUGGGAGGUUGAGGGUGCAGUAAGCUGUGAUCAUGCCACUGCACUCCAGCCUGAGUGACAGAGUGAGACCCUGUCUCA